rnacentral:rRNA from 1 species
UACGAAGGGGGCUAGCGUUGUUCGGAAUUACUGGGCGUAAAGCGUGCGCAGGCGGCUUCUCAAGUCAGGGGUGAAAGCCCAGAGCUCAACUCUGGAAUUGCCUUUGAUACUGAGGAUCUUGAGUUCGGGAGAGGUGAGUGGAACUGCGAGUGUAGAGGUGAAAUUCGUAGAUAUUCGCAAGAACACCAGUGGCGAAGGCGGCUCACUGGCCCGAUACUGACGCUGAGGCACGAAAGCUAGGGGAGCAAACAGG